AGUCACCAUGACAACCUGCGGGGGUAGAAGGACAGCUCAAAGCACCCCUCAGAUGAGAGCCAGGACAGGGACCGGAAGACAUUGUGGUUCUCACAAGUGCAGCAGAUGAAGGGGGGACUCCCUUCCUCUGUCUGAGCAGUGAACUAGAGAUGGGUGUGAGGGGUGGGGCCCAGGGCUGGUGAGGUCAAGGUCUUGGGCUGCUGAAGGAAAUUGGCUUUGUUCUUUUCUGACUUCAUGUUUUGGUUGUCCCUGGCCAGUCCAGCUGGUAGAUGUCUGGAUACAUGGCAAAACCAGAGCACAGCAAAUCCAUCUAGUUCUGGAUAGAGGGUGGGGCAGGGAGGAGGAAGCAGCAUCCCCCUGAAAGAUGACCCAAGUGCCUUUCACAGGAGUUAGCCCACCUCUCCCAGGAUGGUGGAGGCAAGAGCUUGCUGAAAAGUUGAAGCAGAAGAAAGCCCUGAUCCCUGUGAUGGCACGUCCUGGCUAAUCUAAUCAGUAGAUUUUGUGGUGUGAGGCCAGAGGCCUGCUACACCCUCCCUGACCCCCGUGUUUGCUGACUCCUACUGGAGCCUGCCUGACACGGGUGGAUCUGGGGACCUCUGUGUUCAGCCCAUAGCUGGUUUCCUGCAGAGCUGGGCCAGGAGGCUUGCCCAUCUCCUUCCUUCCUCCUGGGCUCUCUCAUCCAUCUGCUGACCUGGGCUUCCUGGCUCCCUGUCCAGUGCUCUUACUCCCACUAUUCCAUGGUUGCAUUAUUCAGAGAAACAGCUUGUGCCUUCACUGUAGUCUUCAUCCAGGAGGACCAGGAAGGAACAGAGCAGCACUGACAUCUGCCAGUCCCUGGGGUCAAGUGGCUUAAAAAAGGCACAGAUGUGACCUAAAUCCUGAUCACCGUGCUGGGGGCUCUCCUUGUGAAGACCGCAUCUUAGGGGACAGCCAGCCAUCUCGUUCCCUGAGGAUGUGCUGCCGUGGAUGCUGCUGUGAGUAUCACUAUUGCCAUUGUUAUGGAAACCAUUUACAAGCACCUGCUAUGCGCCAGGAAGAAGAGCUGGAAGGACUAACAGGCUCCGGUGGCCACCCUACAACCAGAAAACAGACACCUGACAAUGUAUUGUCAGAUGAUGGAUUAGCCAAGCCUGGGGAAGAGAGCUGAGUGUACAGCUUCCCUCCCAGUCUCCUGGGUGACAAAACCGCUGGAUGAUCCCGCCAACAAUAAUGAGAUGAAAAUGAAGAACACUGCAGUAUAAUGAGCAUGAUAAAAAUAGAGAUGUUGCUAAAUAAUGGGUCGGCCAUGGCUGAGGAGCAGGAGAAAGAGCCAAGCCCAAAGGAGGUGGAUAAGGCCUUCCUGUGUGGUCUCCAAGCCUGACCCCCUGAUGUGUUGCUGUUGCUCAACCAGGCCAUAGAUGGUUUUGAGUCCCUAGUGUGGCAAAGAUGUCAGAGAGGGACUAGAGGGUGGGCCUAAGUGAAAAUCCCCAGCAGGCUCUAUCCUGGUCACUGUGGCUCUGACCUCCACCAGGGGAGGGACAAAAGUGUGGUAAGCACACAUGCUGAUGGUGGUUAUGAAUUACUGCCUUUAGUAGGAACUUCUUGCCUGCCAAUGAGUAUCAGCAAAUGGUCUGAGUUAAUGCAUCAAAGUUUUUCAGAACAUUGCACCUCUCAUCUACAUAGUGCAGAGUGGAAGAAGCCUGUUAAUUAUGCUUUUGUUUGUAUUUUUGCUUAGUUGGUAGCUUGGAGUAUCUGCCAGCAGAGGCAGCUGCCCCUAGGGAGGGAGGUACCUGGGUGCUAGAGGGAUGGCUGCCUGUAAAGAUUUCUGGCACCAAGCCUCUCUGCAGUUUUUGUUUUUUAUUUUUUAAAUAAUUAAAUUAAGACUUAUUUUUGAAUAAGUAAUAUCUACAUAGAGUACAAAAUUUAAAAGGAACAAAAGGGGUGCAGGAAACAUACAUAUCCAUUCUUCUCCCCCUAUUCCCAGCCACCCAUUUUCCUUCCCUCGAGGCAACCACUGUUACUAGUUUCUUCUGCAGUUUUCCAGAGAUAUUCUAAGCAUAAAUAAGUGCAUGUACCUCAACCUGCAAACAUACCAGUUUUUUUUUUAAAAACACAAAUGUUAACGUACUGUAUCAACAAGAGUCCUGACAG